rnacentral:rRNA from 1 species
GCACAAGCAGCGGAGCGUGUGGUUAAUUCGAUGCAACGCGAAGAACCUUACCAAGGCUUGACAUGCCAGAAGUAGGAACUCGAAAGAGAGACCACCUGUAUCCAGUCAGGAACUGGCACAGGUGCUGCAUGGCUGUCGUCAGCUCGUGCCGUGAGGUGUUAGGUUAAGUCCUGCAACGAGCGCAACCCUCGUCGCUAGUUAAAUUUUCUAGCGAUACUGCCCGUAAAACGAGGAGGAAGGUGGGGAUGACGUCAAGUCAGCAUGGCCCUUACGCCUUGGGCUACACACACGCUACAAUGGGUGAUACAACGGGUUGCGAGAGAGCGAUCUGGAGCUAAUCCCUAAAAUCAUCCUCAGUUCGGAUUGCAGGCUGAAACUGCCUGCAUGAAGUUGGAGUUGCCAGUAACCGCAGGUCAGCACACUGCGGUGAAUACGUUCCCGGGCCUU